AUGCUCGCCUGCACCAUCAUGGAGGAAAUGGGAAUUAUAUUGGAACUACCAAUAACAAAGAAGGAUAUGGUCUUUCAUCUCGACUCUUUAUCUCCAACUAGAAUGACCAACAGAACCAAUGACCACUCUCCAGUCACUCUACUCCAAGCAUCCUCCCCCUCUGCAUGUCCCUCUGAAUCUUUGGUGCAGGUAGUGGGAACUCUUUCCUGGGAACCUUCAAGCUGCCCUGACUUCCCCCACUGGUGAACUUGAUGCCACCCCGAGGAGGCUGCAGAUCAGGGUGCUCUACACCUGAUACCCUCCCUUGCCCCUCCUCCCUGGCCGGUACCUGCCCUCCUUCCUUUGCCAGCAGAGACCCUAAUCUCUCUUGACAGGAGCCAAUGAGGGCUCAACACCUGAGGGCCCAGAAGCAGCUGAAACAGGAAUAAAGUACAUGCUCCCCAGCGGCCAGCUCAGGCCCCAACAGGUCUCCUUCUGGGUUGGGUCUGGGAAGGACCUCUGAGAGGGUGGGGCCUCUUUCACCUCCCUGUGUUAUCAAAGGCUGCCUGAUCUAAGGAGUAG
rnacentral:lncRNA from 1 species